rnacentral:rRNA from 1 species
CCUUCGGGGGGCAGCAGUGAGGAAUAUUGGUCAAUGGGCGAGAGCCUGAACCAGCCAAGUCGCGUGAAGGAUGAAGGAUCUAUGGUUUGUAAACUUCUUCUAUAUGGGAAUAAAGUGAGGAACGUGUUCCUUAUUGUAUGUACCAUAUGAAUAAGCAUCGACUAACUCCGUGCCAGCAGCCGCGGUAAUACGGAGGAUGCGAGCGUUAUCCGGAUUUAUUGGGUUUAAAGGGUGCGUAGGUGGUGAAGUAAGUCAGCGGUGAAAGUUUGUGGCUCAACCAUAAAAUUGCCGUUGAAACUGGUUGACUUGAGUAUAGGUGAGGUAGGCGGAAUGCGUGGUGUAGCGGUGAAAUGCAUAGAUAUCACGCAGAACACCGAUUGCGAAGGCAGCUUACUAAACUAUAACUGACACUGAGGCACGAAAGCGUGGGGAGCAAACAGGAUUAGAUACCCUUGUAGUC